ensembl:snoRNA
CUCCAAUACUGACUGGUGUGUGGUGCCACGCCUCUAGGCCUCAGAAUUACCCUGAUGGUUUUGAGGAACUAAUGGCA